AGUCGAAUUAGCCACUGGCCGUCCCGGCACCAAUGCUGGUCUAGCCUAAGCUUGAGACUAGUUGUUGCUAAUUUAGCAAUGUUGAAUGGCAAUUUUAUGAAUCAAUUUUUUCGAGGUCAGCAAUGGCCUCUUUUUUU
rnacentral:sRNA from 1 species